AUUUGAUCUAAAAUAGUUUUCUUCUCUGUGACCUCGGCCUUAACUCUAACAUCGUCAUCUUCUGUGUCUGCCUCUGUGGAGAUGGGGUGCGUGGGUCAAGACCCUUGCCUCCUGGUCUUGAGGCACUUCUGUCAGUAGCUCGCAAACAUGGCUGCAAGCUGGUACUAGCCAUUGGGUGUUUGCUUUGUUUUUUAAUUGGAAGAUAAUUGCUUUACAGUGUUACAGUACAGGUGUCCAUUGGCAGAUGAAUGGAUUAGAAGUUAUGGUACGCAUACACAAUGUAACAUUACUUAGGUACUGGAUUUUACCAAACAGUAAGACAAUUGUGAAUCAGUAGGGCUGGGAAUGGAUCUAGAUAUGCAUAUUCUGAAAAAGCUCCACAGGUAGUUCUGACUUAUAACUUCAGGGAGACUCAGUGUAGACUAGUGAUACAUCCACAAUUGAAUUCUAGUUAUGAUACUCUGGGUGGGGUGGGGGCUUCCCAGGUGGUGCCAGUGGUAAAGAACCUGCUUGCCAAUGCUGGAGACAUAAGAGACGCAGGUUCAAUCCCUGGAUUGGGAAGAUGCCUUAGAGUAGGAAAUGGCAACCCAGUCCAGUAUCCUUGCCUGGGGAAUCCCAUGGACAGAAGAGCCUGGCAGGCUACAGUCCGUGGGGUCGCAAAUAGUUGGACACGACUGAAGCAACUUAACACGCAUGUUGGGCAGUAAAUGAUCUCCAGGGGUCUUUGUGACUUGAGGAGGGGUUCGUGUUCUUCUCUGCCUCUUCUAGGACAAAGCUGCCAGUGUCCUACCCCUGAAGCAUGUUCCCAUGCCACAGAGGGGCAAGUGAGGAGAGAGGGAUGAAGAGAAACCCUGAUAUAGGUUCCUAAUGAACACGGUACUCAGACCAGACAGGAACAUCCUGUCUUCCAUUUCCAUUAUACCAGCAAAUCCAAUUUUUACAAUAUAUUGUCCAGCACUCAAUGGAGAGGCAUGGCUUGUAAAUGUGACUUGGAUUCUUGCAAUUAGUAAAUGAAAAAUAGUUGUCUUUGGAUCUGUUCAUGCUGCUAAUUGAACUUGUGCAUGAAAGUCAACCAAAAUAAUUUUAUGCCAUGG
rnacentral:lncRNA from 1 species